GAGAUAGUUUAAUUAAAAUAUUAAUUUUGGAGAUUAAAGAUAAAUUUAUGUUUUUUCCUGA
rnacentral:tRNA from 1 species